rnacentral:ncRNA from 2 species
GAGUUAUAGAGAAGGGGGGAGAGACCAGGCUCUGAGAACCUCUAGCAACCAGCCCUGCCCGGGGGCAAAGGUGCUAAUACCUGGCCCGUUAAGGGGAUUAUAAUUU